CACAGCACACUCCACACCCUUGGAAGAUGGAGAACCCUUCCUAGCCCCCCACUGAGUCCUGGAGGCAGCCAGUAGAAUGUUCUGGGUCUGAGACCCAAGUCAUUUUUCACCCUGAUCCUGCCCUCUCCUUGGUAGCUCUCAGAACUGACUCCUGAGGGAAGGCAAGUGUUUGAAUUGACUUUCUCCAAGGUUCUCACUCUUAGGAAGAUGCAGGUGGAGUUAUCUGUGAUUCUCCCUGUAGGUCAGAUUCCCACGUUGAAAUCCUCACCCGCGUGAAGAUGGUGUUAGGAGGUCAGACCUUUGGAAGGUGAUGAGGUCAUGAGGGUGGAGCCCCAACGAAUGGGAUUAGUGCCCUCAUGAAAGAGACACAAGAGAGAUGAUCUCUUUCCUCCGAUUGAGGACACAGCAGGAAGCCUGCCCGUCUGCAACCAAGAAGCCAGCCUGCAGCAGAAUCUGACGGUGCAGGCGCCCGGAUCUCA
ensembl:lncRNA LASTR lncRNA associated with SART3 regulation of splicing